UCCUUUUCCUUUUUAUUUUCGUUUUUUUUCUUUUUCUUUCUUUUCUUCUCAUGUUCAGAGAGUGAGAGAUUGAGGAGUGGUGUGUGAUUGGAGAGCUAUUUCUCGUUUUCCUCUUUUUUUUCGCCAAUCAGAAGAGAGGGUUCCUCGUGGAAAGAGAGCCUACCUCUUUUUCUUUUUUUUUUGCAAGCGAGCACACCUGUGAGUGGAGGGAGUUGGUGUGUUUGUUGAAGCCAGCUCAUGAGAGAGAGUCCUAUGAGAGUGUACCGGUGUU
rnacentral:lncRNA from 1 species